UACAGAGGUCUCAAGCGUUGUUCGGAUUCAUUGGGCGUAAAGGGUGCGUAGGCGGCGCGGUAAGUCGGGUGUGAAAUCUCGGGGCUUAACUCCGAAACUGCAUUCGAUACUGCCGUGCUUGAGGACUGGAGAGGAGACUGGAAUUUACGGUGUAGCGGUGAAAUGCGUAGAUAUCGUAAGGAAGACCAGUGGCGAAGGCGGGUCUCUGGGACGGUACUGGACGCUGAGACGCGAAAGCGUGGGGAGCAAACAGG
rnacentral:rRNA from 1 species